rnacentral:lncRNA from 1 species
ACUGCAGUUACAGCCCUGAAUCUUUAGCAGGAAAUCUUCUAGUCUGGACCUUGGAUGCGUUGCCUUGGAGGGGAAUAGAAAUAACAGUGAAGCAAGCCUAGGGAAGAGCAGAAGAGCAAAAGGAGAAGGCUAAAAGAUGUCCGCUGAAGUUUUCAUUUUAACAGUCACAAGGUAACGCAAGACCAUGCAUCUGAGAUUUUGAAAUAGAAGUAGAAGGUAAAUAAGUCAUUAUC